rfam:Fulmarus glacialis contig37118, whole genome shotgun sequence.
AAUCCAGUGAAGGAUUCACUGAAGGAAACUGCUUCAAAUCCUGGAUUCAAGCAAAUUAGGAAGUUUGAACAAGGAAAAGACCUAUAGGUGAGUUCAGAUCUUCAGAUUACCCCAAAAUACCUUUUGUUCUAAGUUAGCUUACCUAGAGUUAAAACCUUGCUCUGCUUUCUAUUUUUGCUCAAACUGACGUAUCAGCAGAAGGUGUGGG